CGCUCUUCCUGCUCAAUCCAGGGUGCUCCCACCCUCCAGCGUGAUAUUUGCAUUUGAUGGUUUCCUGCAAAUGACAGAAUGUUGCUGUGGAGAAAUGUUGCGGGUGUUUCAGAUAUUUGCAUCUAAUGGUUUCCUUCAAAUGACAGAAUGUUGCCAUAGAGACAUAUCACGAAGGCAUUGCCGGUAGAAGGAUGAAAUCAACAGAUCAAUGUCCAAGCUUUGAUUUGGUCUCAGAAAAACCAUGGUCAUUAUCAGGGUCAAGUUAUUUGCACCUUCCAAAAGAUUAUCAUUGGAAUCAGGUGAACUUUCUCAUAUAUUCCUUUACAAGUAUACUGUAUUAAAUAGCAGCUUGAUCCAGCAUAGUUUUUUUUUUACCAUAAUCAAUACUGCACUGUGUGAUACGGAGUCCAUUCUUAAGAUUUAUGUAGUGUUCCAAAGAACUGCAUUGUAUGGUACAUUGGUAGAAAAUCCCUCACGGGAAAACACACACGGUACAUUGACUUCU